AGAAAAUGUCUACCAGUCCUCCCUCAAGAAGGAAAAGAAGGAAGGAAGGAAAUAGUGAUCAACAUCCCUCCCUUAUAAAUCAAGUGGAAAACAUACAGAUCUCAAGAAAUGAAUCUUUAUCAGAAGGCUGUGGUGACUCAGGUUUUGAAACAUGUGACAUUCUUACAGAUCAAGAUUUGCUUGCAUCUAGUGAUGAAGACAUAGAUUUAGAGUGGUGGAUGAAAUACCAAUGUGAG